AUACGGAGGGUGCAAGCGUUAUCCGGAUUUAUUGGGUUUAAAGGGUGCGCAGGCGGACCUGUCAGUCAGUGGAGAAAUCCCGGGGCUCAACCCCGGAACUGCCAUUGAUACUACAGGUCUUGAAUACGGUUGAAGUAGGCGGAAUGUAGCAUGUAGCGGUGAAAUGCAUAGAUAUGCUACAGAACACCGAUCGCGAAGGCAGUUUACUAAGCCGAUAUUGACGCUCAGGCACGAAAGCGUGGGUAGCGAACAGGAUUAGAAACCCGAGUAGUCC
rnacentral:rRNA from 1 species